rnacentral:rRNA from 1 species
AGUGAACGCUGGCGGUAGGCCUAACACAUGCAAGUCGAACGGCAGCACAGUAAGAGCUUGCUCUUACGGGUGGCGAGUGGCGGACGGGUGAGGAAUACAUCGGAAUCUACUUUUUCGUGGGGGAUAACGUAGGGAAACUUACGCUAAUACCGCAUACGACCUACGGGUGAAAGCAGGGGACCUUCGGACCUUGCGCGAUUGAAUGAGCCGAUGUCGGAUUAGCUAGUUGGCGGGGUAAAGGCCCACCAAGGCGACGAUCCGUAGCUGGUCUGAGAGGAUGAUCAGCCGCACUGGAACUGAGACACGGUCCAGACUCCUACGGGAGGCAGCAGUGGGGAAUAUUGGACAAUGGGCGCAAGCCUGAUCCAGCCAUACCGCGUGGGUGAAGAAGGCCUUCGGGUUGUAAAGCCCUUUUGUUGGGAAAGAAAAGCAGCAGGUUAAUACCCCGCUGUUCUGACGGUACCCAAAGAAUAAGCACCGGCUAACUUCGUG